rnacentral:rRNA from 1 species
AACGAACGCUGGCGGCAGGCCUAACACAUGCAAGUCGAGCGCCCUUUCGGGGCUGCGGCGGACGGGUGGGUAACGCGUGGGAAUAUGCCCUUCUCUACGGAAUAGCCUCGGGAUACUGAGAGUAAUACCGUAUACGCGCUAUGGGGGAAAGAGUGGUCGGGGAAGGAUUAGCCCGCGUUGGAUUAGGUAGUUGGUGGGGUAAUGGCCUACCAAGCCGACGAUCCAGAGCUGGUUUGAGAGGAUGAUCCGUCACACUGGGACUGAGGCACGGCCCAGACUCCUACGGGAGGGUGGAGAGGGGAGUAUUAGACAAUGGGGGCAAACCUGACCUAGCCAUGCCGGGGAAGAGAGGAAGGGCUUAGGGUUGUAAAGCUGUCUCAGCUGGGAAGAUAAUGACGGUACUGGGAGAAGAAGCCCCGGCUAACUCCGUG